UACAGAGGUCCCGAGCGUUGUUCGGAUUCACUGGGCGUAAAGGGUGCGUAGGUGGUGAGGUAAGUCGGAUGUGAAAGCUCGGAGCUCAACUCCGAAAUGGCAUUGGAAACUACCUUGCUAGAGGGUUGGAGGGGGGACUGGAAUGCUUGGUGUAGCAGUGAAAUGCGUAGAUAUCAAGCGGAACACCUGUGGCGAAAGCGGCGCACUGGACCACAACUGACGCUGAGGCGCGAAAGCUAGGGGAGCAAACAGG
rnacentral:rRNA from 1 species